UCCACAGGCUCGGCCAAUGCCUUGGCCAGAUGUUUCUGCAGAAGAUACUAAUAAUUUAGUGGUUGACAAAGAUAUUGCAGGUCUGGUGGAGGAGCUGAAGAUACGAACAGAAGCAACAAGAGGUUGUUUUCAGGAUUUUCUUAUUCAAAUUGGUGGUGCCGGUGCAUUUUAUUCCUAGACUAUAAGACCCAACUAUCAAGUGGAUGCACUUGCCCCCAAAAUUUGGAGACAGUGUUGUGUUCAUAGCCUUUGUUUGGUACUCUGCUAAUCAUUGUUUCCAAGAAGUCCCAUUUCUGAUCAGUAGAGAUUGGAAGUGUAGUUGCAAUUUUAAGCCUCUUUUGCUCUAUCUUCCAUUGUGUUUUUAAAAUAUGCCUUAUUCUCCACCCAGCUGUAAUUCUGCACUUCUCUACCACCCAAAAUAAUUUUUAAUAGGAAGGUACUUGUUUGACUUAGUGAGAUUUUAUAAAAAGUCUUGAGUUUAUUAUAACA